rnacentral:rRNA from 1 species
UACGAAGGGGGCUAGCGUUGUUCGGAAUUACUGGGCGUAAAGCGCGCGCAGGCGGUCGUUCAAGUCGAGUGUGAAAGCCCCCGGCUCAACUGGGGAGGGUCACUCGAUACUGAUCGACUGGAAGGCAGGAGAGGGAAGCGGAAUUCCCGGUGUAGUGGUGAAAUGCGUAGAUAUCGGGAGGAACACCAGUGGCGAAGGCGGCUUCCUGGCCUGUUCUUGACGCUGAGGCGCGAAAGCUAGGGGAGCAAACGGGG